GUAACGAAAUAUAGAAAACCUCUUGACAGAAAAAAAGAAUUGAAAAAAGUGAUAUAUAAGAUACUACAAAAAGAAUUAUAGAACAAUAGCUAAAGAGGGAUAAAAAUAAUAUAAAAUCUUCCAACCCUAAAGUUUACGAAAAAAAAAAGGUAUUUCAGUUUGUCUACACAAUUCGACGAUAUUAAAGUAAAAAAAAAACGCGAAAACAAAACAAACAACAUUAAAGAACAAAAGCAGCAACAACAACAAUAAAAAAAUAACAGAGCGACGUUAUUCACCUCUCUGGAUGCACACACAUAUUUCGUCAAACCUGGAAUUACGAAGGGUGCUGUAAGGCAAACAUUCAAAUGUAUUCAACUUAAGCAAAAAGAUAUUCAAGCACUCUUCUAAAGUAUUGUACUGAUGGAACAUUCUUAAAAGAUUCAUGGACAUUUCCACUGGAUUCAUAUCAUUUCGGUUUUCAAUUGGAUUUACCGGUAAGACAUUCUCCUUGUAUUGAUAUUUGUUGUCUCAACAAAGGCUUCAACAGGAAACCAUUGUUCUAAUUGUAUGUAAGCACAGAGAUCUUUUUUAACAUUUUCGCAUGUGUAAAAAUAUGUUAAUAUUGGAAUAUAUAUAAAAAAGAACAUGAAAAAAAAACUAGAUACUUAUAUUAACCUGAUAUUAAUUUCUUAAUGUGUUUUUCACUGUAUACAUGCUUAUGUGGGGGUUGCAGUUGGAUUAUACACAAGGAAAACUCGUAUAUAUGUCGUAUAUAUGUCGCAUAUACAGAGAUUGGACAAUAUAAUGGAAACACCUUAAAAUUUCAAACAAAUUUAUUUUAAUAUGGGA